AACAGAGUAUAGGUAUAAGGAUGC
rnacentral:siRNA from 1 species